CAUUUUAAGAAAUCAUUUAAAAUAAAUCCUGCUCAAUGAAAAUAAAUAGCCGCAGAAAUUCUACUGUGCUAAGGUAGCAUAAUCAUUUGCCUUCUAAUUAAAGGAUAGCAUGAACGGACCAACAAAUAUUAAACUGUUUCUAUUGUAAGUCACAAAAUUAUACUAAAUGUAAAAAUACCUUUAAACCCUAGAAAGACGACAAGACCCUAUCGAACUUUACACACGUUUAGCUGGGGCAGCAAAUUAAAAAAAUCUUAACUUCUCCCACACAAAAAUCUAAUAAUUAUAAUUAAAUUAAACAAGUUACCGUAGGGAUAACAGCAUAAUAAAUUUUUAAAGCUCUUAUUUAAAAACAAGAUUGUGACCUCGAUGUUGAAUAAUAUAUCUGCUAUUGAUGCAAAAAUCUAGAAAGAAAGUCUGUUCGACUUUUAAAAUAUUACA
rnacentral:rRNA from 1 species